AGGGUCGACGUGGUCGUGGAGCAGGUAGGUGGAAAGGAGAGCAGCCGUCUCCCCUCUGCCAGCCAUCCUGUAGGCCUCGGUCACCGCAGCUUGGGGUCUUGGGUGGUUAGUUAGUCGAUUUGGGUGUCCAGAGUUGCACCCCGAGGAUCCCAAUUCAGUUAUGCCCCUUAGAGUAGUUCUGUGCCAGUUUUACUGGGUAUUUUCCCCCAAAUCAGGCAGAUAAUGCAGGAGCUGGGUUUUAGCACGUCCACUCUGCUUGGCAGCUAGGCUCCACCCCCCUG